UACGAAGGGGGCUAGCGUUGUUCGGAAUUACUGGGCGUAAAGCGCACGUAGGCGGGUAUUUGAGUCAGGGGUGAAAUCCCAGAGCUCAACUCUGGAACUGCCUUUGAUACUGGGUACCUAGAGUAUGGAAGAGGUGAGUGGAAUUCCGAGUGUAGAGGUGAAAUUCGUAGAUAUUCGGAGGAACACCAGUGGCGAAGGCGGCUCACUGGUCCAUUACUGACGCUGAGGUGCGAAAGCGUGGGGAGCAAACAGG
rnacentral:rRNA from 1 species